rnacentral:rRNA from 1 species
AGUGAACGCUGGCGGUAGGCCUAACACAUGCAAGUCGAACGGCAGCACAGGAGAGCUUGCUCUCUGGGUGGCGAGUGGCGGACGGGUGAGGAAUACAUCGGAAUCUACUCUGUCGUGGGGGAGAACGUAGGGAAACUUACGCUAAUCCCGCAUACGACCUACGGGUGAAAGCAGGGGAUCUUCGGACCUUGCGCGAUUGAAUGAGCCGAUGUAGGAUUAGCUAGUUGGCGGGGUAAAGGCCCACCAAGGCGACGAUCCGUAGCUGGUCUGAGAGGAUGAUCAGCCACACUGGAACUGAGACACGGUCCAGACUCCUACGGGAGGCAGCAGUGGGGAAUAUUGGACAAUGGGCGCAAGCCUGAUCCAGCCAUACCGCGUGGGUGAAGAAGGCCUUCGGGUUGUAAAGCCCUUUUGUUGGGAAAGAAAUCCAGCUGGCUAAUACCCGGUUGGGAUGACGGUACCCAAAGAAUAAGCACCGGCUAACUUCGUGCCAGCCGCCGCAGUAA